UACGGAGGGUGCGAGCGUUGUCCGGAAUCACUGGGCGUAAAGGGCGCGUAGGCGGCCUGAUAAGUAGGGGGUGAAAUCCUGCGGCUUAACCGCAGGGCUGCCUUCUAAACUGUCAGGCUAGAGCACGGUAGAGGCAGAUGGAAUUCCCGGUGUAGCGGUGAAAUGUGUAGAGAUCGGGAGGAACACCGGUGGCGAAGGCGGGUCUCUGGGCAAUUCCUGACGCUGAGGCGCGAAAGCGUGGGGAGCAAACGGG
rnacentral:rRNA from 1 species